GAUGAACGCUGGCGGCGUGCCUAAUACAUGCAAGUAGAACGCUGAAGGAGGAGCUUGCUCUUCUGGAUGAGUUGCGAACGGGUGAGUAACGCGUAGGUAACCUGCCUGGUAGCGGGGGAUAACUAUUGGAAACGAUAGCUAAUACCGCAUGACAACAGUUAUUGCAUGAUAACUGUUUAAAAGGGGCAACUGCUCCACUACCAGAUGGACCUGCGUUGUAUUAGCUAGUUGGUGAGGUAACGGCUCACCAAGGCGACGAUACAUAGCCGACCUGAGAGGGUGAUCGGCCACACUGGGACUGAGACACGGCCCAGGCUCCUACGGGAGGCAGCAGUAGGGAAUCUUCGGCAAUGGACGGAAGUCUGACCGAGCAACGCCGCGUGAGUGAAGAAGGUUUUCGGAUCGUAAAGCUCUGUUGUAAGAGAAGAACGAGUGUGAGAAUGGAAAGUUCACACUGUGACGGUAUCUUACCAGAAAGGGACGGCUAACUACGUG
rnacentral:rRNA from 1 species